rnacentral:rRNA from 1 species
UAGAGUUUGAUCCUGGCUCAGGAUGAACGUUGGCGGCAUGCCUAACACAUGCAAGUCGAACGCAAGGCUUCGGCCUUGAGUGGCGCACGGGUGCGUAACACGUAGGUGAUCUGGCCUCUAGUGGGGGAUAACUGCCGGAAACGGCAGCUAAUACCGCAUACGCUCAUGGUGUUUUGAAGACCAUGAGGAAAGCUUAAUGUGCUGGAGGGGGAGCCUGCGGCCUAUCAGGUAGUUGGUGGGGUAAAAGCCUACCAAGCCGAUGACGGGUAGCUGACCUGAGAGGGUGGUCAGCCACAGGGGAACUGAGAGACGGUCCCCACUCCUACGGGAGGCAGCAGUGAGGAAUAUUGGGCAAUGGGGGCAACCCUGACCCAGCAAUGCCGCGUGCGGGAGGACGCCCUUCGGGGUGUAAACCGCUUUUAUGAGGGAGGAGCAAGGACCGUACCUCAUGAAUCAGUCACGGCUAACUACGUGCCAGCAGCCGCGGUAAUACGUAGGUGGCGAACGUUAUCCGGAGUUACUGGGCGUAAAGGGUCCGCAGGCGGGCUGAUAAGUCUGACGUGAAAUCUUCUGGCUCAACUAGAAGGGGUCGUUGGAAACUAUCGGUCUAGCAUCCCGCAGAGGUCGGCGGAAUUCCCGGUGUAGUGGUGGAAUGCGUAAGAUCGGGAGGAACCUCGAAAGCGAAGGCAGCCGGCUAGGCGCGGAUGGACGCUUGAGGGACGAAAGCAUGGGGAGCGAACAGGAUUAAUACCCUGGGUAGUCCACGCUGUAAAACGAUGUGUGCUCGGUGGUUGGACUUAAUUGUCUGGCUGCCUUAGUUAACACGCCUUAGCACCACCGCCUGGGGGAGUACGGGCGAAGGUAAACUCAAAGGAAUUACGGGGGCCCGCACAACAGCGGGACCGUGUGNGUUUNAUUCGAUGCGACGCGAAGAACCUUACCUAGGUUUGACAUGCACGUGGUAGGGAGGGGAAACCUGACCGACCUUCGGGAGCGUGCACAGGUGCUGCAUGGCUGUCGUCAGCUCGUGUCGUGAGAUGUUGGGUUAAGUCCCGCAACGAGCGCAACCCCUGGCGUAUGUUUUACAUGUCAUACGCGACUGCCCGGGCGAACCGGGAGGAAGGUGGGGAUGACGUCAAGUCAGCAUGGCCUUUAUAUCUAGGGCGACACACACGCUACAAUGGCACGUACAACAGGCCGCAACCGUGCGAACGGUAGCGAAUCCCCAAAAGCGUGUCGUAGUUCGGAUUGGAGUCUGCAACUCGACUCCAUGAAGGCGGAGUUGCUAGUAACCGCGCGUCAGCCAUAGUGCGGUGAAUGCGUUCCCGGGCCUUGUACACACCGCCCGUCACGUCAUGGAAGUCGGCAACACCUGAAGUCGGGUAGUCAACCGCAAGGAGACACCUGCCGAGGGUGGGGCGGGUAACUGGGACGAAGUCGUAACAAGGUAGCAGUACCGGAAGGUGCGGCUGGAUCACCUCC